CCCAAGCCAGGAGCCUGUAAUUCAGUAGUUGUCGUUUUUUUAUGUGUUACAUAUUUGUUUUUCUUUCAUUUUUUGUACAUAAAUUAGGCAGUUAAGCCUCGGUCACACCUUACCGGAUGGCACUAACGGACGCCUAACGGAUGAAAAUAAAAGUUGUCCGUUGACAAAAUUGUUAUCCGUUGGGAGUCCGUUGAUGUACUGACCGAAUAAAACGGACGCUUAACGAAUGCAUAACGGACAUGCAACGGAUAUGCAACGUACGAGAAACGGAAACGUACCGGACAGAACGGAUGUCGAACGUACACCCAACGGACGAGUGCCGCAUAAAACGGAACACCUAACGGAAGCGUACCGGAUAAAGCAGAUGAGCAAGAUAUACGGAAAAAUUAAAGACGACAAUAAUAAUACAUGUAAAUCGCAUAAAUAUUCAAAA
rnacentral:lncRNA from 1 species